AAAUGCUAAGGAGGCUUAUUUAAAUAUUCAGGGCUUCAACUAAAGAUCUAACCACUGAGAUCAAAAGAGUUAUUUAAAUAAAAGUUGUUGAGACAUUUUUUCAUCUGUAUUAAUAAUGUGGCUUUUGAAGUUACCCGGUAAUAAUGUGUCCAAAAUGCCCACACCUAAUUUUUAAUUUCCAUUUUGGCUUUAGGUGUGGGUUUAUUUUAAUAGCUGCCAAAAAGUUGGCAAUUGUUUUUACGUUUAGAACUUCACAGUUUCUUUUCUGUAGGUUUAGGUAGCAUUGGGGGUAUUCGUCUAAUAAAAACUUUAAAAAUUUCUGUUCUGACCCUGAGGCACUUAAAAAAAAAUCUCAUGGGCCACAUUUUAAAAGUAGAGUGUCUCUACCACUGCAUAAAGAAUUUCUAUAAAAGAUGAAACAUGGAGCUGAUUGAAAGAAUAGACGGCGCAAUGGUGGAGGACACAUAGUUACCACUGUCACUGGUAAUCCACAGCUUGAUGCGAAGUCAUUCCGCCUUGUUUGUUGAAACGUUAAUCAUUUCGUUAAGAAAGGUUAAGUAAUUAACUGAUAUUUCAUUAGGGAAUUAAUGACAGACCUUUUUUUAGUGAUGUAUGGUAGAUAUUUUCUAAGAGAAAGUUUGCCCCAUUUAAUUAUUUGGAAAGAAGCUAGUUGAUUGAGCCUUGGGAAGGAGGGGUGGGGCAUCUUCAGAUAACAUCGCUGUCCAUAAGCAACUUUAAAUAAUUUUGGAGAAAAUGGUCUAUUAGAAUAGAAAAUCGUUCAGUCCCCAGUUUUCUUUUAUGGGCUCCAUCAGGCGUGUUGUUGCAGACCUGCUGUUGUUUUGCAUGCCUUCUCUGGGUUUAAGAAGGGUUCAGCUGCUUAAAUGUGUUCAUCUUAUUUUCUAAAUAAUGGCUUUUGUUGCAGUGUGAUGCAUGUUGACAGUAAACGCGCAGCCGUAACUUUGUCCAUGUGAACCUUUUGAAAUACUGGAUAUUAAUUCAAGACAAGUUCUUUAAAUUUGAGCCUAAAACCCAGUAGCACUCUGUACAUUGAAAAUUUCAGAUUCAUAAGAAACCAUCAGUCCUGACUGGAACUUCAUAAUUUGUUCAUUUGUCUGUGUUUUGGGGGAAAAAACUUUAAAACCUCAACCAUUUAUCAGGGAAUUUGAUUAAAAAAAUAAUCUAUCAAGUGGCUGAUCUCUUACAUUAAGGGAAAAAACAGGCAAAGCAUUCAUUUGAAGGAGCCUAGCCAUUUUCUCUUUCUUAUUUAAAGACUUGGCUUAGAACUUAGCAGUUACAUAUGCAGGGUAGCGAGUUAAAAAGCCAUGUUUAAUUAACAGGCGCUUUAUACUUCUGUAUCCUUGUUAUGAUAUAGCACCUUGUUCUUCAGUGUAGAAAGUGAUUUCUGCAUAUUUUAAAGGACUGGCAUCUUUAUGGUAAGAAAGCCAUAUAAAUAAAGAUAUACUUAGAUGAAAAUCGGAACAUGUUUUUAAAAUAGUGUGUGUCUACUUUCAUCUCUGUUAUCAAACUUGCUGCAUAAGCCAGAGUUGAUGCUCUGUGAUUAUGCUAAUGACCAAAAGAAUUGAUGAUGCGAGACUAGAUGAAAUCAGUGGUAUAAUCGGGGGAAGUUAUCAGUUUUUUUGUCAUUAAGUAUUAGUGAUAAAUAAUACACUGUUCAUUUUGAGUAGAUAGAACAUAUUUAAUUCUGAUGUACAGAGUUUCAAUUUAGUCAGGCUCAUUGCUGAGUAAAAUGAUCAUCUUUUGUAAUUUUAGAGGAAAGAGAAAAGGCAUUUUUGUCAGCCUGGCUAACUGACUCGGGCCAUCUAGAAAUGUUUACCUUGACCAGCCAGGGAAGAUUGGAAAAACUUAAUUUUUUUUCCUCCUAGACAACUUGCUUAUUUGUACUGACAUUUUAUUAAGAAUAUCAGAUACUCAGUAAAUAGCAUAAAUGACUAGAGAUGUUAAACAAAAUGAGUAUAAAGGUAGAUAGUGUUUCCCUGAAGAAUGGGGAAAAUGAUAACAAAGGGGCAAUGUUUGGAUAAUGCUCUUUUUAAAUGACUAGUCUGCAUUAACCAGGGGCUAUUAAAGUCGGUAUCACCCAUUAGACAGCAGUUUUAAUUUUUUUUUAAAUUGAGUUUUUCAUAUCAAAUAAGAUCAUACUUAGUAAUGGUUUACUUAAAGAGAAGUAAUACUUGUAACUUAGCAUCUUUUCCUGGGUUACUAAAACCUUAAGGGAAAACACUGAUUCUACCUUCGUUGUCAACAAAGUGUUUCUAACACAAUUCUCUGUAACAGACAUUUCUCUGUGGAUAGAGUUUAGCACUUGUUUUACUACUGUAUGACAGUACCUAGUGACAAGAGAGAAAAUAAAAGAAUAAUUAGCAAUGUUCUGUAGGACAUGAAAAGUGAUUGAAGUCUACGAGAGAAGGAAAUCAGAUCGAUGUUAUUUUAAAAAAAUGCAUCACAAAAAUGAUUCUCUUCAAAGCAAAGCCUCCUACCCAGGCUGGGGCCAGCUGUGCUCUGCCAUUUCCCUGCCACAGCCCUGUCCGUCCACGUUGGCUCUUACCAGCAGUACCAUCUGCUGCUCCAGCAGUGGCCUUCUCUAUGGUAAGGCAGGCCAAUUGGGUCAAAUCUUGUGAUCUGGCAGAUGUCCACUGAGAGCUAAGAUUGGGCCAGGCUCAUUUUUAUGUGUGUCCAAAGCCAAGAUUUCAACUUGGUGAAAGGCUGUGGAAUUUAUUUCCCCAAGUGUUGCCCAAACUCUGUUCUUUUCUUCAACUGCCUCCUUGGGCUGAGAUGAUUGCUUAAUGCUCUUAAUUAUGCUGGAUCCCUCUGUAUUUUCGAACACCUGUGGGUAAUUCAGAUCAUGGGUGGUCACAGAGGCUGGUUCGACAAACGGCUUCCCUUUCCGAAUGGGAAAAUCCCAGGGAGCUGGACCAUGUGCCGUGUGUCAGGGAGCUGAGUGGAGGCUGAAAGAGGAUGGAACACUUCCCUUGAACUUGAACUGGCAUUGUGUUGUGUCCAAGUAUCCUUCACCCUUGGAUUGGGGAGAGUCUUACAAUGAAUAACUCAGAAAAAAAGUUUUAAAAAUAAUCCUAGAUUGUAAGAUAUCUACGACCAUUAUCCAUAGCCAUAUCUU
rnacentral:lncRNA from 1 species